UACAGAGGGGGCUAGCGUUAUUCGGAAUUAUUGGGCGUAAAGGGCGCGUAGGCGGCCUUGCGUGUCUUCCGUGAAAUCCCCGGGCUUAACCUGGGAAUGGCAGUGGAAACUAGAGGACUUGAAUCCGGCAGAGGGGGGUGGAAUGCCACGUGUAGCAGUGAAAUGCGUAGAUAUGUGGCGGAACACCGAUGGCGAAGGCAGCCCCCUGGGCUGAGAUUGACGCUCAGGCACGAAAGCGUGGGGAGCAAACAGG
rnacentral:rRNA from 1 species